GAUGAACGCUCGCGGCAGGCCUAAUACAUGCAAGUCGAACGGGAUCCAGAUCAAAGCUUGCUUUGGUUUGGUGAGAGUGGCGCACGGGUGCGUAACGCGUGAGCAACCUACCCUUGUCAGGGGGAUAGCCCGGCGAAAGUCGGAUUAAUACCGCAUGACAUCAUUGAGAGGCAUCUUUCGAUGAUCAAAGAUUUAUCGGACAAGGAUGGGCUCGCGUGACAUUAGCUAGUUGGUAAGGUAACGGCUUACCAAGGCUACGAUGUCUAGGGGCUCUGAGAGGAGAAUCCCCCACACUGGUACUGAGACACGGACCAGACUCCUACGGGAGGCAGCAGUAAGGAAUAUUGGUCAAUGGACGGAAGUCUGAACCAGCCAUGCCGCGUGCAGGAAGACGGCCCUAUGGGUUGUAAACUGCUUUUAUACGGGAACAAACGUCGGUACGUGUACCGGUCUGAGUGUACCGUAAGAAUAAGGAUCGGCUAACUCCGUG
rnacentral:rRNA from 1 species